rnacentral:rRNA from 1 species
AGCAAUACAAGGCAUACGGCUCAGUAACGCGUAGUCAACCUAACCUAUGGACGGGAAUAACCUCGGGAAACUGAGAAUAAUGCCCGAUAGAACACUAUACCUGGAAUGGUUUGUGUUCCAAAUGAUUUAUCGCCGUAGGAUGGGACUGCGGCCUAUCAGUUUGUUGGUGAGGUAAUGGCCCACCAAGACUAUUACAGGUACGGGCUCUGAGAGGAGUAGCCCGGAGAUGGGUACUGAGACACGGACCCAGGCCCUAUGGGGCGCAGCAGGCGAGAGAACUUUGCAAUGUGCGAAAGCACGACAAGGUUAAUCCGAGUGGUUUCUGCUAAAGGAACCUUUUGUUAGUCCUAGAAACACUAACGAAUAAGGGGUGGGCAAGUUCUGGUGUCAGCCGCCGCGGUAAAACCAGCACCUCAAGUGGUCAGGAUGAUUAUUGGGCCUAAAGCAUCCGUAGCCGGCUCUGUAAGUUUUCGGUUAAAUCUGUACGCUUA